GUGUAAUUCGGAGAGCAGUCUUCAAACUUUUGCCGUAUUGACUCUGAGUUGUCAGGGGACUCAGGCUUAUGAGGAGGUACUGUCACAUAAAACAGUGUCUGGUGAAGACAACAAGAAAGAGGGGAAAGGAUCGGAAAAAGAAGCUAAAACACUGUAGGAAACCAUGAGAUCUAUUAGAUCUUUUGCCAAUGAUGAUCGCCAUGUUAUGGUGAAACAUUCAACAAUCUAUCCAUCUCCAGAGGAACUUGAAGCUGUUCAGAAUAUGGUGUCUACUGUUGAAUGUGCUCUUAAACAUGUCUCAGAUUGGCUGGAUGAAACAAACAAAGGCACAAAAACAGAGGGGGAGACAGAAGUGAAGAAGGAUGAAGCCACAGACACCUAUUCCAAGGAUCAAGGUGGUCGGACAUUGUGUGGUGUAAUGAGAAUUGGCCUGGUUGCAAAAGGCUUGCUGAUUAAAGAUGAUAUGGACUUGGAGCUGGUUUUAAUGUGCAAAGACAAACCCACGGAGACCCUGUUAAAUACAGUCAAAGAUAAUCUUCCUAUUCAGAUUCAGAAACUCACAGAAGAGAAAUAUGAAGUGGAACAAUGUGUAGAUGAGGCAUCUAUUAUAAUUCGGAAUACAAAAGAGCCCACGCUAACUUUGAAGGUGAUACUUACUUCCCCUCUAAUUAGGGAUGAAUUGGAGAAAAAGGAUGGAGAAAAGGUUGCGAUGAAAGAUCCUCCAGACUUACUGGACAGGCAGAAAUGCCUGAACGCCUUGGCGUCUCUUCGACAUGCCAAAUGGUUUCAGGCAAGGGCAAAUGGAUUAAAAUCGUGUGUCAUUGUCCUUCGUAUUCUGCGUGAUUUGUGCAACAGAGUCCCCACAUGGGCACCAUUAAAAGGAUGGCCACUAGAGCUUAUAUGUGAAAAGUCUAUAGGUACUUGUAAUAGACCUUUGGGCGCUGGGGAGGCCUUGAGACGAGUAAUGGAGUGUUUGGCAUCUGGAAUACUACUUCCUGGGGGUCCUGGUCUUCAUGAUCCUUGUGAGCGAGACCCAACAGAUGCUCUGAGCUAUAUGACCAUCCAGCAAAAAGAAGAUAUUACCCAUAGUGCCCAGCAUGCACUGAGACUGUCAGCCUUUGGCCAGAUUUAUAAAGUGCUGGAGAUGGACCCCCUUCCGUCUAGUAAGCCUUUUCAAAAAUACUCCUGGUCAGUUACUGAUAAAGAAGGUGCUGGAUCUUCAGCUUUGAAAAGGCCAUUUGAAGAUGGGUUAGGAGAUGAUAAAGAUCCCAAUAAGAAGAUGAAACGGAACUUAAGGAAAAUUCUGGAUAGUAAAGCAAUAGAUCUUAUGAAUGCGCUAAUGAGGCUAAAUCAGAUCAGGCCUGGGCUUCAGUAUAAGCUCUUAUCUCAGUCUGGCCCUGUCCAUGCCCCAGUCUUCACAAUGUCUGUAGACGUGGAUGGUACAACAUACGAAGCCUCAGGACCAUCCAAGAAAACAGCAAAGCUUCAUGUAGCAGUGAAGGUAUUGCAGGCAAUGGGAUACCCAACAGGCUUUGAUGCAGAUAUUGAAUGUAUGAGUUCCGAUGAAAAAUCAGAUAAUGAAAGCAAAAAUGAAACAGUGUCUUCAAACUCAAGCAAUAAUACUGGAAAUUCUACAACUGAAACCUCCAGUACCUUAGAGGUAAGAACUCAGGGCCCUAUUCUCACAGCAAGUGGCAAAAAUCCUGUAAUGGAGCUCAAUGAAAAAAGAAGAGGUCUGAAGUAUGAACUCAUCUCGGAGACUGGUGGAAGCCAUGACAAGCGCUUUGUGAUGGAGGUAGAAGUAGACGGACAGAAAUUCAGAGGUGCAGGUCCAAAUAAGAAAGUGGCAAAGGCGAGUGCAGCAUUAGCUGCCCUGGAGAAGCUGUUUUCUGGACCCAAUGCAGCAAAUAAUAAGAAAAAGAAGAUUAUCCCUCAGGCAAAGGGUAUUGUGAAUACAGCUGUGUCUGCAGCAGUCCAGGCUGUUCGGGGCAGAGGAAGAGGAACUCUAACAAGGGGAGCUUUUGUUGGGGCUGCAGCUGCUCCUGGCUACAUAGCUCCAGGCUAUGGAACACCAUAUGGUUACAGCACAGCUGCCCCUGCCUAUGGUUAAUACUUUUAAGCAGUUUUCAGCACGUUUAUCUCACUUUAUUCUCGUUCUCCUCGGACCUUCGUAGCCAUAUCACUUAUAUAAAAUAGGCUGAGAUAUAGUGACUGUAAGCUGUGCUCUCAGUAUACAAAGAUGAAAAAAAAAUGAGGCUGAGUUGAAUGCUGGAGUGCCAGAGCCUCUUUUCACUACACAUGCUAUGGCUUAAAAGUCUGGGGACGAAGAUGGGCGGCUGGUCGGGAGACAGGAAGGAGGUAUGCGCAGUGGGCAGGGCCCAGAGGAGCUGUGAGGGCCUAAACUAGCCGGGACUUUGCAGGAUCUUUUGAGCUCUCAGGCUUAGAAGCCACCCUAGUCUCCUGGGCUGGAAUAUAGGCUCUGUGUCUUGAUCUCAUUUUAGACAAGAUAUCCUGGUUGAAAAUAGAGCUGUUUUCUUUCUGACCAACUGAAAAAGAUUAUUUAACUAGCAAGAUAGACUUGAAGAGUAAGGUGUGGCUGUAUAAACUUGGUAGCUUGUUUUUAUUUGAAGAUCAAUGAGAAAUUGAGGCAUGUUUUCAUUGAGCUAAUUAAUGCUUUCUGAGUACACUCUGUCUGGCCUGAGGUUGGUGAUAUGUGUCAAAGACUUGAGCCAGGCUCUGAAGGAAGGCUGGUGAGGCUUUGACUCAGUGGGUCUCAGGAAGAGGGCCAUGGUCGGUGGUAGCCCAGGUUUGGGGUGGAAGUGUAGGGAGGUUCUUGAGCAAGUGCUAAGGGCAGACUGCAAUGGUUGGUUGUGAUAAGAGGGGCCUCCCCUGACUUGGGCUUUAGGGAAGCUGCCAGCCUUCACUCUAGGUGAGCCGUGCUGGAGGGGCGGACUCCCAUCUGUCUCUGAAUGGCUGUGUGAGUCUCUCUGCUGAGCUGGUCUGCUCGUCUGUGCUACAAAUCACUUCACCAGCUCCUUUGCUAAUGAAUGCCAACUGGGCUUCUGCUGGGGCUCAGUGGGUGUGGGAAUGGAUGCAGAAUCCUUGUUAGGGGAAGAUAUUCCUCGCUCACCCCAAGUCGUCAGUAUCCUUGGCAACUGGCCUUUUUCUGAUUACCUGCCAUUUCCUGGAGGGGAGCAAGAGGAAGGAACUUUCUUUUAAACCCAGGUUGUAGGAGGUCUAGAGCAGGGACCUGUGUUGAGGACGACUGAGUGCCUGCCAGUGUAGGGGCCAAUUAGCAAAGCUCUCCCCCAGUCACCACUGCCUGUCCUGCCCUCGAUCUGGAGAAUGCAUACGUAGGUCAUUCCCACGGCACAAACAGAAACGGAAGCCCAGAGACCUCCAAACCACCUAGCUUGUUUGUGGCACAUUUUGUGGCUCCCAAUUAGUGAGUUUUUAACCACGGAGAAGAAAUAACAUUCUUCUACUGUUUUUAAGUUAACAGAAGCACUUUCUUAGGGAUGGGAUUUGAGUUCCACCACGGUUGUGGGAUCUAGAAAUUUCCUUUUUACAGAUGAGGAAAUGGAGGCUUAGACAAAAUAACUUGCCCUAAAUUAUCCAGCUGGUAAGUGGCCAGGCCCUCCCAUUGGGAUUGCUCUGUGCCAAUACUGUGGUGUGCAUUACUGGUCCAGACUGCAGCCUGUCCUGAUUCCCAAGACCCCUUGGCAAGUCUCCUCUCCCAGGAUGUAUCACUUUACCUCUCUAGGUUUAAAAUAAAACAAGCAGAAGCCAACUCACUUCUUGCCUCCGCCACCCCUUUUGGGAGAAAAAAGAAUCCAGACGCCAGGCUCAACUAUGUGCUUGCUUGCUCCUGGACUGGUCGGUCUCAGGCCAAGAAGCCUGUGUGGGGUGUUUUGUUUUGUUGGUGCCAGCCGCACAGUUGGGUCUACUUCCACCGACGGCCUUUUUGUGCUGUAACUAAACCAGCACCUGCCAUGGGGAGCCCAGGCUUGGACGGCAGAGGGACGGCUGCUGGAGUAGACUUGUGCUUUCUUGUUUUGGCUUCCUCCGCGAUUCUGGGGGCUGACAUUUGCUCCUGGCUAGGUUUUUCUUAUGUGCGUGCACUAACCAAACGGGCCACCUUCACAGGAACACGCUUCCCAAGUGCUCUGAUGCUGGGCUCUCUUUGGACCUUUCCAUCAUAGAGCGUCAGAAAUUGCUCAGCUUGCCUAUAUCCUUCAUGCCCGUGGAGGCUACCGGACCACAGUGCCCGAUGAACUCAGGACGGCUGAUGGAGCCUUGGGAGCAGGUGUGGUGAGAAGCACACUCCAUGUUACAGAGUGUUUAAGCAAGAAGCCAACUGUUUGGCUGGUACAGAGGAAUUUUUUCCUACGGAAUGUCAGUGUGGACGGAGCGCUGGUGUGACUCUUGACAUUGACAAAAUCACUUCUCUCCUCUUGGGCAGGUGGAUUUAUUGGGAAACAUUCACUGUCACCUGGUCCUGUGUACCAGGCUCUGUUGUGGGGGAAAGGGAACAGAGAAAAUAACAAGAUUUUCAGCUUAGACAACUGAGUAGCAGGUGAGAGCACAAGACGGGGAAUGGUGUGCAGGCUCCCACUCAGUCCUGGAGAGGAGCCAGGCCUGUGGAGAGACGGACACGCAGCGAGAGUCAGAGGAGCUCUGGAACGUGGUGAGAUUUUAAGACAGGCAUGGCCUUCUGGGGACAGCAUGAAGGUCCUUGUCAGCAUGUUAACCACCCAGCCCUUUUGUCUUCUGGACCGAAAGUAUGUCACUCACCGGUGACUGGCUGGGCGCUUAAUGUGUUAAUGGAAGGGUUAAGUAGCAGGUGGGAUGUAGAGAGUAGGGCCAUUUGGUGAAAGGCCCUGGCUAUGCCCUUCAGUGAUUACCAUCUUCCAAAAUGGUGAGCAUUCUGGAGAGUCGAUUUGGAAGGAUUAGAGGCAGAAGGCAGAGGCUGUUGCAGAUGCCCAGGUGAGGGACGGAGGAGGCUGGCUGAGGCCACACAGGGGAGCAGAGGCAGAAAUGGUGUCUCUUCAUAGGCCAGGUUCUCUCAUGGACCGAGCAGAAAGGUAGGCUUGGCAGCACCCAGCCCCGGGCCAGGGAACCAUGUCCAGGGGAGCAGGUGCCUGCCCAAGCAUUUUUCCAGAGCCACUUGUCACUCGGUGACGGGACCCAAGAUGGGGAAGGUGAAGCAGGAAGAUGCUGACAAGGCAGAAGGGAGUGCAGGGGAAGGAGUUGGAACGUAGGAAGGGCCAUCUCCAUUGGGCCAGGAGUGGGGUUGCUCUCUUGGAAGUGUAUCUUUUAGCAACCGGUAGACAGGUUUGCAGGCUGGUCAGUCAGCAUCUUACUCUUUGCCUGAGUUUCUGCUCUGCUGGGCUCACCAGUCUAAGGGAAUGACAGGUACUGGGCAUUGGUUCACACAGGAACCUUGUGCUUUUUAAAAAGUGACAUUUUUGGUCUCUUUGCCAGGACAUGGGCUGGAGCUCAUUUAAUUCAGCAUCUGUAGGACAUGGUCUUCAGCCAAUGGGAAGGUGUCGACUUGUUUUACAGGGUGCUUUAAGGAGGGAAAGAAUGUGAAAUGGUACAGUUACUGGAGGGUUUGCUGUGGGCCUCAGGUCUGUGUCUAUCUUGGAUUCAUCCUGGACAGGUGGGCAGGGAGAGCUGAGGAGUCAGGGUGGGUGUCUGCCCUCUAUUUCUGUCGCUCUUUGGGACAUAGGGCUGGAGGCAGCUGUGGUUUGAGUCUUUAGGUCCGAGCUAUGAAAGGUCACUGGUGCACUGAUAUGCUGAUCCCAUUAGCCUUUGGGGGUAGCCAGGUGUCUGACUACAAGAGGCCUUUUUGUUUACUCCCCUGGGCCACAUGAUAUCGUCUCUUCUUUUAGUAUCUCAGUUUGGAAACAUAUGGGAACACUGCUUUUAGACAUGGUUUUGGAAAACUUUUUCUAUAAAGGGUCAGACAAUAAACCUGAGGUCUUGGGAACCAUUCGCUGUUGGAGCUAUGCAGCUCGGCCUUUGUAGCAAACGAGCCUGGCUGUGGCCCAACAAAUCCUACUUACAACAGAGGCACUGGUUGCUUUUGGCUCUUACACUGUAGACACCCUUUGGUUUAAUUCUGAUAGGGAACUUCCUGCCCUCUGCUGGGACUUACCCAGCUUCCUACAAAGGCUUCCUGAACACCUGAUCCGAGUGCGCACUGAGGACGAGGAGGGUGAGUCUUUGCCCCUGAGAAUCGCAGGUUUUAGGUGAGAGGUGGGCAGUGACGGCUCCAGAGAGAAGGGCCAGGCUGAGUCAGGAGAUCAGACUGUCCAGUCACCGGCGCGUUGGUGCAGCCUGUGAAGGACUGGGUGUUGGGCUUCAUUCUGCAGGUGGUGGGGAGCCAGUCUGAAAGGUUGUGCUCAGGACCGUCAGGUGAUCACAGAUGCACUUUUGAAACAUCACUCUGGUCGUGGUUUCCAACGCUAUCUUUUAGUUUAGUAUGGACAUUUCAGCCCAGGGUUUGGUUACUGUCAUCACCGGAGCAGGAAAGUGGCCCAGAGUUGCAGGGCGGUCCUGGCCACGGGCUUUAGUGGGCUAGAGUGGCACACUUCUCAAUAGGCAGAGAAUGAAAGUCUGUCCCAGUGCUGUGGUGUGUGGACAAAAGUAUCUAGGGAAGCCCAUCCCUUGCUUCAGAUGGAGUUAUGUGGCAAGAAAGCUUAAAGCUUCAAGAAGCUGAUUCGCACCCACUGUGCAUGUAGCUAGGCCUGCGACCAGCACAGAGAGGGUGGUGUCUGUACAAACUACUGCGGCAAGGUGCGUGUGUGCAGGUUGAAGCAAGUGCUGCUCAGGUGGAUCACAGAUGGCUCGAGGCCGAGGCACACUAGACCUGGUGCUCACUGUAGUUGGGGUGGCAGAGAAAACCCUAAAUGUAUAUAGUGCUCUCUACUCCUAAAGUAUUCUCCCUCAGAGAGGUUUCUAGGCAAGUAAAUUGAACUGCCACCAUUGCCCUUUAAUGGGUACUGGAAUGGGGGGUGCUUUAUGUGUGGUGACAGGAGCUGUCAUGAAAGGAGACCUAAUAGCAGUGCCUGCAGAUACUGUUUUAUUGAAUCCUCAACAGGCCUGUGGCAGUAGGUGAGGAGCCUCGGAGAGGGAGGUGGCUCUCCCAGUGCAGCCUGCAGACACACUGGUCCUCUGGCCAAUCAGGUACACUUGUCAGUGGGUGGCCUUCCAGGCCCUGGGAGGGUGGUAGGAUGUCUGGGUAGGAAACCACUGAACACUUGGGGAACUGGAUGCUGGGAGUGCAAUAAUGCUUGGGGAUGUGCCUCUUGAAUUUUGCUGCCCGGUCUUAUCUUUGAGCAGCACUCCUUGUGUUUUCUAAAGGCGUUUCUGGGCUCGUGGGAGAGAGAGGUGAGGCUCUCAUCAGGCAGCUCAGCCUGUGCUGUGGUUCUGGAGUGUGAGGCCCACACCUCAUUUUCCUGCUUAGGGAAGCAGAUGGUGGUCAGAAUGGUUUUUUUCCUGCCUAAAUAUUUCUGCUGUUCUGAGAUGUCAGGUUUGUUUUGUUCAUGGCAGUGAAUUUAGGGCUAGCAGUUUAGAAGUAUGCAGCCUCUUUCCCCCUCCUCUGGGCUGAGCACUGCUCCCAUCCUCAAGAACUGGGUUCCUGCUGCCAUAAACACCCCUCGGACUUAAGACAAGCACUUUGGUUUGGUGGGUCAGUAGCCAGACACCCUGACAUGUUCUCUCACCUGACGAGCCACCACUAGACACAUCCGUUUCCCUGGCCAUGAAGGCUUGUACCACAACUUCGUGUAAGGGACCACGUGCAUGGCCUGUUCCCUUGCUCACUUAAUGUGGUUGUUUCUCAGCAGGGGGCCCUGCCAUGGCUCUGUGGGAGGUGGAAACAACUUUUUGUGGAAACAACUGGGGAGCCAAACUGCAGGCAUCCUCAAAGCCUCUAAUCAGGGGUCCGUCCUUUCUGCAUCUCCCCGGAAUCCAGGCUGUCUUGUGAGCUAUCUCCAAUCUCCAGCCAGACUUCCUUUCCAGGGGCUUGAAAUGGGAUUCUCCUCCCUGCUUCUGUCCUUGUCUCUCUUCUAAUGAGUCAUGAGCCACCUUCCUUGGCAGAUUUCAGCCCUUAGCAGUGUUCACUGUUUUCUCGGAACUCAGGCCUUGCAUCAGGGGCAUCUGUUGUUGGUCUGUUGUGAACCCUCGGUCUCUGUAAGGGGCUGGUUGGGUCCUAAUGAGGGGGAGGGCACUUUGAGGAAAAGUGGGGCUGGGCUUGGUCCAGCCUAUCAGCCUCACACCCUGCGCAUCCUGGUCUGGCCUCUAAGACUUGCUUCUUGCCCACUCCAUGCAGAACUCCUUGGGGAAAAGGCAGCCAGUCUAGACCUGAAGCUCUGGGCUGUUCUAGAAGAGGCUUGCUUGCCUCACAAAAGCAGUAAGGUGCUCAGCCCCAGGGGUGGGGGUCCUGGAGAAGACUGAGCAGUUACCACAUGACACUGGGCUCCUGGCUGUAGUUUACUCUCACUCUGGUCUGGUGGUGGCCAAGGCAAUUUUAGUAAUCUUAUUUAAAAUACCUAUUUAUUGUGUGUGUAAAUAGUAUAAUUUGCAGUGCAAAGCCCUUGGCAAUAACUUUGUUGUGUAUUAUGUUAAAAAAAAACACUGAAAAUCGCGAGCACCACGGAUUGUCUUUCCCCUUGGGGCAGUGGUUACAUGUAGGACUCUGAACUUGAACCCUUCGGCACAGCUGAAGCAGCAGCCUGCGUGUGUGGACUGUCAACAGUGCCUCGUCCAGAGAUGCCUGCCCUUCAUCCACAGGGACUCUGUGCCCACUGACUGUGUUGGACUCUGCAUAGACUGACCCUCUCGUCUGGCUGCUGCAGUCUGCCGGAAUGCCCUGACAUGUUGCAUUUUCCCCAUUUGGAUGAAUAAAAAUAAAAGCUUCUGUCUUAA